rnacentral:ncRNA from 1 species
AUUUAAACUAUGAUGAAGAGAGUAAAUAUAAAAAUUAUUUUUAGGAAGAAAAGGUCAUAGACUGCAAGCCUUUUUAUUAAUUUUUAUUUUGAAGUUCACUUCUGAGUUCUAACUAUGAAAUUAUUAGUAGUAGUUAGCGGUGAUUAACCGAUAUCAUAUUGAGAUGAACACAUAUAAUAUAAGUGUUAAUCAGGGUGGUACCGCGGAUAAAAAUUCGUCCCUUUU